rnacentral:tRNA from 1 species
GCUAAUAUAGUUUAAUAAGAACAUAGUAUUGAAGAUGCUGAGGUAUAAUUAAUUUUUGGCA